rnacentral:rRNA from 1 species
AUUGAACGCUGGCGGCAUGCUUUACACAUGCAAGUCGAACGGUAACAGCACUUCGGUGGCUGACGAGUGGCGAACGGGUGAGUAAUACAUCGGAACGUGCCUAGUAGUGGGGGAUAACUACUCGAAAGAGUAGCUAAUACCGCAUGAGAUCUAAGGAUGAAAGCAGGGGACCUUCGGGCCUUGCGCUACUAGAGCGGCUGAUGGCAGAUUAGGUAGUUGGUGGGAUAAAAGCUUACCAAGCCGACGAUCUGUAGCUGGUCUGAGAGGACGACCAGCCACACUGGGACUGAGACACGGCCCAGACUCCUACGGGAGGCAGCAGUGGGGAAUUUUGGCCAAUGGGCGCAAGCCUGAUCCAGCAAUGCCGCGUGCAGGAUGAAGGCCUUCGGGUUGUAAACUGCUUUUGUACGGAACGAAAAGCCCUCUUCUAAUACAGGAGGGUCAUGACGGUACCGUAAGAAUAAGCACCGGCUAACUACGUG